rnacentral:rRNA from 1 species
AGUGAAUAGAUACCCUGGUAGUCCCAGCCGUAAACGAUGCGCGUUAGGUGUAUCAGUGACCACGAGUCACUGAGGUGCCGAAGAGAAAUCGUGAAACGUGCCGCCUGGGAAGUACGGUCGCAAGGCUGAAACUUAAAGGGAAUUGGCGGGGGAGCACCACAACAGGUGGAGCCUGCGGUUUAAUCGGACUCAACGCCGGGAAACUCACCAGUUAAGACAGCUGAAUGGUAGUCGGGCUGAAGACUCUACUUGACUAGCUGAGAGGAGGUGCAUGGCCGUCGUCAGUUCGUACUGUGAAGCAUCCUGUUAAGUCAGGCAACGAGCGAGACCCACGCCAACAGUUGCUAGCUCGUCCUCCGGGAUGGAGAGGACACUGUUGGGACCGCCUCUGCUAAAGAGGAGGAAGGAAUGGGCAACGGUAGGUCAGCAUGCCCCGAAUUAACUGGGCUACACGCGGGCUACAAUGGGUGGGACAAUGGGUAUCGACACCGAAAGGUGAAGGCAAUCUCUAAA